GGAGAGAAAUAAAGUUGGGGAGGCAGUUGGCAGUUGCGGCGCGGGGGGGGGUGGGGGGGGUGGGGGGGGUGGGCAGGUGUUGGUGGGGAGAAGGAAGGAACUUGCUUGACAAAUUUCCCUGACAAAAGCUCACAGGAUCAGGAGACUUCAAUUGUUUUGUACCUGAUGCUGAAUCAUCGAGAUUUUGCCAAGACUCCGUGGUGGACACCCCCCUUCAGAAGUUGGAUCUGCAGUAAUGUUCUUUGGAAAGGUAACACCAGCUUUAAAUGAAGAGCUAACAAAUUUCAUCCUGAGCUUGGAAGAAGGAGGGUAAUUAUGUCCAUGUUAUCAC
rnacentral:lncRNA from 1 species